rnacentral:rRNA from 1 species
GCAAGUAGACGCUGAAGAGAGGAGCUUGCUCUUCUUGGAUGAGUUGCGAACGGGUGAGUAACGCGUAGGUAACCUGCCUUGUAGCGGGGGAUAACUAUUGGAAACGAUAGCUAAUACCGCAUAACAAUGGAUGACACAUGUCAUUUAUUUGAAAGGGGCAAUUGCUCCACUACAAGAUGGACCUGCGUUGUAUUAGCUAGUAGGUGAGGUAACGGCUCACCUAGGCGACGAUACAUAGCCGACCUGAGAGGGUGAUCGGCCACACUGGGACUGAGACACGGCCCAGACUCCUACGGGAGGCAGCAGUAGGGAAUCUUCGGCAAUGGGGGCAACCCUGACCGAGCAACGCCGCGUGAGUGAAGAAGGUUUUCGGAUCGUAAAGCUCUGUUGUAAGUCAAGAACGAGUGUGAGAGUGGAAAGUUCACACUGUGACGGUAGCUUACCAGAAAGGGACGGCUAACUACGUGCCAGCAGCCGCGGUAAUACGUAGGUCCCGAGCGUUGUCCGGAUUUAUUGGGCGUAAAGCGAGCGCAGGCGGUUUGAUAAGUCUGAAGUUAAAGGCUGUGGCUCAACCAUAGUUCGCUUUGGAAACUGUCAAACUUGAGUGCAGAAGGGGAGAGUGGAAUUCCAUGUGUAGCGGUGAAAUGCGUAGAUAUAUGGAGGAACACCGGUGGCGAAAGCGGCUCUCUGGUCUGUAACUGACGCUGAGGCUCGAAAGCGUGGGGAGCGAACAGGAUUAGAUACCCUGGUAGUCCACGCCGUAAACGAUGAGUGCUAGGUGUUGGAUCCUUUCCGGGAUUCAGUGCCGCAGCUAACGCAUUAAGCACUCCGCCUGGGGAGUACGACCGCAAGGUUGAAACUCAAAGGAAUUGACGGGGGCCCGCACAAGCGGUGGAGCAUGUGGUUUAAUUCGAAGCAACGCGAAGAACCUUACCAGGUCUUGACAUCCCGAUGCUAUUUCUAGAGAUAGAAAGUUACUUCGGUACAUCGGUGACAGGUGGUGCAUGGUUGUCGUCAGCUCGUGUCGUGAGAUGUUGGGUUAAGUCCCGCAACGAGCGCAACCCCUAUUGUUAGUUGCCAUCAUUCAGUUGGGCACUCUAGCGAGACUGCCGGUAAUAAACCGGAGGAAGGUGGGGAUGACGUCAAAUCAUCAUGCCCCUUAUGACCUGGGCUACACACGUGCUACAAUGGUUGGUACAACGAGUUGCGAGUCGGUGACGGCAAGCUAAUCUCUUAAAGCCAAUCUCAGUUCGGAUUGUAGGCUGCAACUCGCCUACAUGAAGUCGGAAUCGCUAGUAAUCGCGGAUCAGCACGCCGCGGUGAAUACGUUCCCGGGCCUUGUACACACCGCCCGUCACACCACGAGAGUUUGUAACACCCGAAGUCGGUGAGGUAACCUUUGGAGCCAGCCGCCUAAGGUGG